AUACUUACCUGGCAGAGGAGAUACCACGAUCACGUAGGUGGUUUUCCCAGGGCAAGGCUCAUCCAUUGCAGCUGGGAUGCGCUGAUCCCUGCAAUUUCCUCAAACGUGGGAAACUCAACUGCAUCAUUUAUGGUAGUGGGGGGCUGUGUUUGCACUCUCCCCGA